AUUGAACGCUGGCGGCAUGCCUUACACAUGCAAGUCGAACGGUAACAGGUCUUCGGAUGCUGACGAGUGGCGAACGGGUGAGUAAUACAUCGGAACGUGACCGAGAGUGGGGGAUAACGAAGCGAAAGCUUUGCUAAUACCGCAUACGAUCUCAGGAUGAAAGCAGGGGACCGCAAGGCCUUGCGCUCACGGAGCGGCCGAUGGCAGAUUAGGUAGUUGGUGGGAUAAAAGCUUACCAAGCCGACGAUCUGUAGCUGGUCUGAGAGGACGACCAGCCACACUGGGACUGAGACACGGCCCAGACUCCUACGGGAGGCAGCAGUGGGGAAUUUUGGACAAUGGGCGCAAGCCUGAUCCAGCCAUGCCGCGUGCAGGAUGAAGGCCUUCGGGUUGUAAACUGCUUUUGUACGGAACGAAAAGACUCUGGUUAAUACCUGGGGUCCAUGACGGUACCGUAAGAAUAAGCACCGGCUAACUACGUGCCAGCCGCCGCAGUAAAAC
rnacentral:rRNA from 1 species